GACUGCCCUCGUGUGGGGGAUAGCCGGGCUUAACGCCCGGGUAAUACCGCAUACGUUCCCUUGGAGGAGUCUCUGGGGGAGGAAAGCUCCGGCGCACGGGGAGGGGUUCGCGGCCUAUCAGCUAGUUGGCGGGGUAAUGGCCCACCAAGGCGACGACGGGUAGCUGGUCUGAGAGGAUGAUCAGCCACACUGGAACUGAGACACGGUCCAGACUCCUACGGGAGGCAGCAGUGGGGAAUAUUGCGCAAUGGGCGAAAGCCUGAACGCAGCAACGCCGCGUUGAGUGAUUGAAGGCCUUCGGGUCGUAAAGCUCUGUCGGAGGGAACGAAUGCUCUUGAGGUUAACAGCCUCAGGAAGUGACGGUACCCUCAAAGGAAGCACCGGUUAACUCUGUGCCAGCAGCCGCGGUAAAUACAGGAGGGUGCAAAGCGUUGUUCGGAAUCAUUGGGCGUAAAGGGCGUGUAGGCGGUAUGUUACAGUCAUGUGUGAAAUCCCUCGGUCAAA
rnacentral:rRNA from 1 species